rnacentral:rRNA from 1 species
UACGUAGGGGCGAGCGUUGUCCGGAAUCAUUGGGCGUAAAGAGCGUGUAGGCGGUUCGGUAAGUCUGCCGUGAAAACCUGGGGCUCAACCCUGGGCGUGCGGUGGAAACUGUCGAGCUAGAGGAUGGUAGAGGGGAGUGGAAUUCCCGGUGUAGUGGUGAAAUGCGUAGAUAUCGGGAGGAACACCAGUGGCGAAGGCGACUACCUGGCCUGUUUCUUGACGCUGAGGCGCGAAAGCUAGGGAGCAACGGG